GUAAAACAAAUGAUGCGGAAAAGAGUAUUUUGUGAUCUUUGUCCAGUGAGUAAUGUAAGUGAGAAAUUACCUAAGUAGCAAUUGAAAUGGGUCCGUUGAUGUAGAAUGAGGAAAUGCAUUCUCGCAGAAAACUGCGUUAUCAAAAUUGAGGAUAUAGGCUAUACUAUAUUAAAUAAAGGUGGUACCACGAAUAUUUCGUCCUUUAA
rnacentral:ncRNA from 1 species